UAUUAAUCUUUGACUUUAAAUUUAGUAACUUAAGAAAGAAAAAGAAAAUUAAUCAAACUUCAUUUUAAUAUUUUUCUUAUUUUAGUCGGUCUUAGAUAUUCACCAAACUAACGGCUAAGAUCAUCUUUCUUUUGUGCUUUCUCUUUCUCUCAUUCGUCAAAUUUUAUUUUUCUUAUAUUGGUUGAAUCGAGAAAGUAACUCAUUGUGGUUUUCAAGUGAGAAACUUUUAGCAUUAGAAUUAUAGCAAACGGAGUACAUUUGAAACACUUCAAAAUGUGAGACAUUUCAACAUUAGUCAUUUUAGCAAGCGGAGGACUACAUUUGAAAUACUUCAAAAUGAACUGUGAUAUCAGAGCCGAAGAUCUUUCGAAAGCAAUCACUCUUCUUCUACGAGGUUAAAACGAGAGUCAAUUAUUCUGAAAUAUUAUUAUGCUAUUAAGAUAAGAUUAAUUUAAAGCCUCAAGACUUGAUGGUUAGAAUUGUGUUUGUUUACUUUUCAGAUUUUAUAAUAAUUAAUAACCUAUUGAAAAUCAA